UACGGUGGGGGCAAGCGUUGUUCGGAAUUACUGGGCGUAAAGGGCUCGUAGGUGGCCAACUAAGUCAGACGUGAAAUCCCUCGGCUUAACCGGGGAACUGCGUCUGAUACUGGAUGGCUUGAGUUUGGGAGAGGGAUGCGGAAUUCCAGGUGUAGCGGUGAAAUGCGUAGAUAUCUGGAGGAACACCGGUGGCGAAGGCGGCAUCCUGGACCAAUACUGACACUGAGGAGCGAAAGCCAGGGGAGCAAACGGG
rnacentral:rRNA from 1 species